rnacentral:tRNA from 1 species
AGUAAAGUAAGCUAAUUAAGCUCCUGGGCCCAUACCCCAGCAAUGUGUGUGAAAUCCCCACCCUUACUA